rnacentral:rRNA from 1 species
UCGGUUAGUCGGUACGAGCGCACCCCUUUCGUUAGUUGCCAGCAAUUCGGUUGGGCACUUUACGAUACUGCCGGUGUUAAACCGGAGGAAGGUGGGGAUGACGUCAAGUCCUCAUGGCCCUUACGGCUGGGGCUACACACGUACUACAAUGGCGUCUACAGAGGGUCGCGAUAUCGUGAGAUGGAGCUAAUCCCAAAAAAGGCGCCUCAGUUCAGAUUGCAGUCUGCAACUCGACUGCAUGAAGUUGGAAUCGCUAGUAAUCGCGGAUCAGCAUGCCGCGGUGAAUACGUUCCCGGGCCUUGUACACACCGCCCGUCACAUCAUGAAAGUCGAUUGUACCCGAAGUCGCUGCGUUAACCGCAAGGAGAUAAGCGCCGAAGGUAUGGUUGGUAAUUGGGAUGAAGUCGUAACAAGGUAGCCGUAGGGGAACCUGUGGCUGGAUCACCUCCUUUCU